rnacentral:rRNA from 1 species
GAAUCUUGCGCAAUGGGCGAAAGCCUGACGCAGCAACGCCGCGUGGGGGAUGAAGGCUCUCGGGUUGUAAACCCCUUUCAGCAGGGACGAAAUUGACGGUACCUGCAGCAGAAGCCCCGGCCAACUACGUGCCAGCAGCCGCGGUAACACGUAGGGGGCGAGCGUUGUCCGGAUUUAUUGGGCGUAAAGAGCUCGUAGGCGGCUCAGUAAGUCGGGUGUGAAAUUUCAGGGCUCAACCCUGAAACGCCACCCGAUACUGCUGUGGCUAGAGUCCGGUAGGGGAGCGUGGAAUUCCUGGUGUAGCGGUGAAAUGCGCAGAUAUCAGGAGGAACACCAGCGGCGAAGGCGGCGCUCUGGGCCGGAACUGACGCUGAGGAGCGAAAGCAUGGGUAGCGAACAGG